CUACGGAAGCCGGUGGGGGCUGCGUAGGUCCGCCUGGCUCUGGCCUUUCUUCCCAGGGUUGCUCCGUAUGCGCUCUAGCUGUCGGCUCUUGUAAAGAAUUUCUGCAGGCUGAGCCUGGAGUCCACAGACUUCUUGUGACAAUGAGAGAUUCCAUUACAACUUUCUGCUACCUUCUGUGUGAAGACUGCUAAGACUUCUAUUGAAGUGACUCAGGACCCCACAGGUCUGCCAGGACAGCAGGUCAUCUGCAGGCACAGCACUACCCAGCACAAAAUGAAUGAUAUCAAGUUACAAAACCUCUCGCCCUUCAGAAGAGAUGACAAACUUCAGAGGGUCUCUUUCCUGUGGGUGUUCGCUCUGUUAUCAGUCCCUCUGGCGCUGGAAAAUGCCG